GGUUAAGCGACUAAGCGUACACGGUGGAUGCCCUGGCAGUCAGAGGCGAUGAAGGACGUGCUAAUCUGCGAUAAGCGUCGGUAAGGUGAUAUGAACCGUUAUAACCGGCGAUUUCCGAAUGGGGAAACCCAGUGUGUUUCGACACACUAUCAUUAACUGAAUCCAUAGGUUAAUGAGGCGAACCGGGGGAACUGAAACAUCUAAGUACCCCGAGGAAAAGAAAUCAACCGAGAUUCCCCCAGUAGCGGCGAGCGAACGGGGAGGAGCCCAGAGCCUGAAUCAGUGUGUGUGUUAGUGGAAGCGUCUGGAAAGGCGCGCGAUACAGGGUGACAGCCCCGUACACAAAAAUGCACAUACUGUGAGCUCGAUGAGUAGGGCGGGACACGUGGUAUCCUGUCUGAAUAUGGGGGGACCAUCCUCCAAGGCUAAAUACUCCUGACUGACCGAUAGUGAACCAGUACCGUGAGGGAAAGGCGAAAAGAACCCCGGCGAGGGGAGUGAAAAAGAACCUGAAACCGUGUACGUACAAGCAGUGGGAGCCUCUUUAUGGGGUGACUGCGUACCUUUUGUAUAAUGGGUCAGCGACUUAUAUUCUGUAGCAAGGUUAACCGAAUAGGGGAGCCGAAGGGAAACCGAGUCUUAACUGGGCGUUAAGUUGCAGGGUAUAGACCCGAAACCCGGUGAUCUAGCCAUGGGC
rnacentral:rRNA from 1 species